rnacentral:rRNA from 1 species
AUUGAACGCUGGCGGCAGGCCUAACACAUGCAAGUCGAGCGGCCCGGCGGACGGGCGCGUAAGGCCUAUAAAUCUGCCUGGUAGUGGGGGAUAACGUCCGGUAACGGGCGCUAAUACCGCAUACUCUCAGAUGAGCCUCGGCCGGAUUCGCUAGUUGGUGUGGUAGAGGCUUACCAAGGCGCCGAUCCGUAACUGGUCGGAGUGGAUGAUCAGUAUCACUGGGACUGAGACACGGUCCAGACUCCUACGGGAGGCAGCAGUGGGGAAUAUUGGGCAAUGGGCGAAAGCCUGUUCCAGCCAUGCCGCGUGUGUGAAGAAGGCCUUCGGAUUGUAAAGCACUUUAAGCUGGGAGGCGUUACCAGCAGAAUAAGCACCGGCUAACUUCGUGCCAGCAGCCGCGGUAAUUC